rnacentral:lncRNA from 1 species
ACCAACAAAAAUAUAUACAGAAUAACGAGAGGAAUAGAGAGUAGUGAGAGAGAGAUAAGCAAAGGAGAGAAAAAUAGUGGAUCUGGAAACGAAAAAAUUGAGUGUUUCUCCUUUCUCAUAGCAGCAACAAAAAAUCACUACUUCUUCACCAAAAAAUCACUGAAAUCCCCCACAAAUUUCUGCUUGAAAUUAGCUUAAGAAAUCCAUCUAGGUGUUUACCUCGAAAUAGUCCAUUUCUUUUAUCAAAACAACAGCGUCAAGAGUUGAAUCGAAGGCACCAUUCAAAAACUUCGGUCGUCAAUUCCGGUUGAGAUCGUCGGCGAAUGUUCUAUAAAGAAAUUGUGCAGUAAUUGCAAUUUGAACUAAAUCCAUCAAUACAAAGGUCAUUUUUCCUUUUCUUCUAAAAGCUCUAAACCACUUCGUUAUUUUAAAUAUUCCGAAGCUUACGUUGAUUGUUUUGCUUUGUCUUACUUAAUUUUGAAAAGAAGAAAUAUGAAAUCUCACUUUAUUCAUGUUUAAUGCAUAAAUUUGAUUCCUGUUUGGUACAUGUUGAAGUUUAACAAAUUUUUCUUUUGUGAUGAGCAUGAAUAACCAGUUUUGAUUCCUUUUGCAAGCUCAUAUCUAUUAUAGUGGAUUAAUAGUGUUAAGGAACAAGUUUGAUUAUAGCUAAGAUUUUAGAAUUGAAAAAAUAUCUUUGGACUCUUAUGUUUUCUCUUAAAUUUUGAUAAAUAAUAGGAUUUAGUUAUUAAAGAACGAAGUAUCCUCAUGUUGUAAUAUGUUUGGAUGAAAUAUCGAGUGAACAAGAUUUUGAAUUAUUGGUUAGAACUGAUGGGAUGCUUUGAGUUGAUAUUGUUUAGUGAAGAUCUGUAUGAGAAUCUUUUAUUAAUUUUUAAUUAAAUAG